rnacentral:misc_RNA from 1 species
GAUGAAGAACGUAGUGAAAUGCGAUACGUAAUGUGAAUUGCAGAAUUCAGUGAAUCAUCGAAUCUUUGAACGCAUAUUGCGCUCUCUGGUAUUCCGGAGAGCAUGCUUGUUUGAGUAUCAGUAAACACCUCAACUUCCAUAUCUUUUUUGAAAUGGGAGUUGGACUUGAGUGAUCCCAACGCUUUUCCUCACCGAAAAGUGGCGGGUUACUUGAAAUGCAGGUGCAGCUGGACUUUUCUCUGAGCUAUAAGCAUAUCUAUUUAGUCUGCCUAAAAACAGAUUAUUACCUUUGCUGCAGCUAACAUAAAGGAGAUUAGUUCUUGUGCUGACUGAUGCAGGAUUCACAAAGACAGGCUUCGGCCGACUUUGUAAACUCGAUCUCAAAUCAAGCAAGACUACCCGCUGAACUUAAGCAUAUCAAUAAGCGGAGGA